AACGAACGCUGGCGGCAUGCCUAACACAUGCAAGUCGAACGAUCCCUUCGGGGAUAGUGGCGCACGGGUGCGUAACGCGUGGGAACCUGCCCUUAGGUUCGGAAUAACUCAGAGAAAUUUGAGCUAAUACCGGAUAAUGUCUUCGGACCAAAGAUUUAUCGCCUUUGGAUGGGCCCGCGUUGGAUUAGCUAGUUGGUAGGGUAAAGGCCUCCCAAGGUGACGAUCCAUAGCUGGUCUGAGAGGAGGAUCAGCCACACUGGGACUGGGACACGGCCCGGACUCCUCCGGGGAGCAGCGGUGGGGAAUAUUGGACAAUGGGCGAAAGCCUGAUCAAGCAAUGCCGCGUGAGUGAUGAAGUCCUUAGAGUGGUAAAGCUCUUUUACCCGAGAUGAUAAUGACAGUACCGGAAGAAUAAGCCCCGGCUAACUCCGUG
rnacentral:rRNA from 1 species